UUGGUCCGUCCGCUCCCACUCUCGCUACCCGCUCCUCCGCUCUGCCACGUGGACCCUCUCGACUACCGCCUCCCCUCGCCCACCUCGACAGCCAUGUUCGGGGGUGGGGAAAGGCCGGCCGGACUUUUGGACUGUGGAGCUCGCUGACUACUUUAGGUGUGCGUGGACCGGGGCUCCAGCACUGACCUGGUCACUGCGCCUGCGCAAGAGUCUCCGCCACUCCUGUCCGGGUGGGAACCCAAACCUUGGACUUCCGUUCCGAAAUCAAACUCUAUGUCCGCCCUUCAGGGCGCUACGCAUUUGUUUCUAGGCUUCAGUCCUGAGGCUACCCAGGGCCUGCCUUUCUCUCUAACUUGCAGGAGGAAGAGUAAGCUCCAUAACAAGGAGUACUUUAGAUUGCUAUUCCGAACGGCUAAUCAGGAAGUAUAAGCUAAACUCUUAGCAAAAUGGCAGCACCUGGAAAGGCAGGUUGAGCCAAACUACCUGGGUUCAAAUUCUGACUCCACCACAUACUACGGUUAUCAACCAUCCUGAUCUGCCCAAGGCUGAGGUGUUUCCCAGGAUAUGAGACUUUCACUGCUAAAACCAGGAUAGUCCCAGACAAAGCAGCAUGACCAGUCACCCUACUUGCUGCCCUGAGACUGUCACCAUCCUUGAGGAUGAUAGUUCCCAAGGAGAAAGUGACCCAGUCAACAUCCAGCACCAUCAGCAUGUGACUUAUCCAGCCCCAAUCCAGUCACCAGAUAAUAGCAAAUGCAUGAGUCAAUUCUGGUGAGACCAGCAGAACCAUCCAGCUGAACUUAUCUCAAAUUGCUUUCUUCCAUUGCAGUUUUUCUGUACAUAAAAAAAAAUUGCUGUUCUACAUAACUGU